CAGCCGCCGCGGUAACACGUAGGUGGCAAGCGUUGUCCGGAAUUAUUGGGCGUAAAGCGCGCGCAGGUGGUUUAAUAAGUCUGAUGUGAAAGCCCACGGCUCAACCGUGGAGGGUCAUUGGAAACUGUUAAACUUGAGUGCAGGAGAGAAAAGUGGAAUUCCUAGUGUAGCGGUGAAAUGCGUAGAGAUUAGGAGGAACACCAGUGGCGAAGGCGGCUUUUUGGCCUGUAACUGACACUGAGGCGCGAAAGCGUGGGGAGCAAACAGGAUUAGAUACCCCGGUAGUCCCUGUCUCUUAUGC
rnacentral:rRNA from 1 species